rnacentral:sRNA from 1 species
GCAACCUUGUCUAUUUUUAAUUCAUUCACAGAGGGUGGAACAGGAGGAAAGUGAAGGGAAAGGC